GAUGAACGCUGGCGGCGUGCCUAAUACAUGCAAGUCGAGCGAACAGACGAGGAGCUUGCUCCUCUGACGUUAGCGGCGGACGUGUGAGUAACACGUGGAUACCCUAUCUAUAAGAUUGGGAUUACUUCGGGAAACCGGAGCUCCUACCUGUAAUUAUUUUCAACCGUAUGGUUCAAUAAUGCCAGACGGUUUUGAUGUCCCUUCUCGAUGUAUCAGCGCCGCAUUAGCUAGUUCGCAAGGUAACGGCUUACCAAGGCAACGAUGCGUAGCCGACCUGAGAGGGUGAUCGGCCACACUGGAACGGAGACGCGGUCCAGACUACUACGGGAGGCAGCAGUAGGGAAUCGACCGCAGGGGGCGAAAUGCUGACGGGGCAACGCCGCGUGGGUUAUAAAAUUCUGCGGAUCGUGAAACUCUGUUAUUAGUGAAGAACGAAUGUGUAAGUAACGUGACACUUCUUGACGGUACCGAAUCAGAAAGCCACGGCUAACUACGUG
rnacentral:rRNA from 1 species